GAACCAUUGGUUUACGCGCGUAUGAGGUGCGUACACGCGUAUCAUGCGUACCAAGCAACAUUUUACUCGCGUAUGAGGCGCGUAUAUAUACGCGCGUACAUAUACGCGCGUACAUAUACGCGCGUACAUAUACGCGCGUACAUAUACGCGCGUACGCGAGGAGUUCAAAAAAUUUAACUUUUUACGCUCAUACGCGUGAUACUUAGCCGCAAUAGCCAAUCAGCGUGGAGCUUGACCCGACGUCACUGGCAGAGAGUAGUGACCCUUGCACAGAAGCAUACGGCCGACAUCUUUCUUUAUUCUGGGUGGAAAUAGUAACAUAGUUACGCCAUUAAAUGCGUUUAUGGAAACAUUUUUAGCGAGAAAUGUGCAUUUUACUUUCAUAAUGUUCACUCGGUGAAUGUGAAGGAUGUUUGGUUUGAUAGUUAUGACGAAGAGUGAACGCUCCGUUCACUUGCAUGGACAGAGUCUCUGGUUGCUAAGCAACCUCAACGUCUUGGUGGACACACCAUGUGAAGUUAUUUAACCCGAUUAUUGUUAUUUAUAUCCGAGAUUUAUUUAAUCUAACCCGAUCCAAGCUCUAUCAUGCACCCAAACACGGCGGCGUUUGGGUUUCCUUCCUCGGACUCCUAAAUCCAGCGCAGCCACAGGCGCGUAGCUGCGUACGUAGGACCAUUUUUGACACAAAAUGGUCAAGCAACAUUUUAGCUGCGUAUCGCCUACAUGGUACGCGAGGUACGCGCUUGGUGUGUUUGCACCUUUAUAGUGCGGAAAAUACGGUAGUCCUCGUUUGUAUUUCUUUCGAAAUGGUGAACUUUUGCAUGGUGCCUCCAGUACCCUCCGCCAAUGUACUUCAGUUUUAUCAACAGCCUCUGUUAUCUUAGCUUCAGACGCUGUGGAUGUUAGUUUCUGCUGGUGAAGUCCCACCCACUGGCACUGCUCUAAUAGGUCUGUAGCGUCAGUGGGUCCCACCCCCUAGAGGGGGGUGGGACUAGUGGUUGUAGUCUUACGAGAAUCAUCCCCUCUUACACUUCCUGUUUUCUUGUACGCAAAAAUCGUCAUAUUGCGUCAUUAAAAACAGGAAGUGUUGGAGAUCUAUACGGAUCUCUCCAGUCUCUCCAGAAAAUAAGGGAAUGAUGCUAGACCAUUCAAAAAUAUUCGGGGGGUUCUAAAAAUACAAAGCUUAUGUGAAAUGG
rnacentral:lncRNA from 1 species